AGUACAGGGCUGUUUUGAGUGCUGUGAAGUACAGGCUCGGGCUUCCUGUGCAGAAGUGCCCACCUGUCCCGCUGUUUUAACACGGUGUAUUGGAAAUAAAAGCCGACGACCGUCUUCAAAAAGCCGCAGAGGAGAUUACGCAGACGGGUUCUGAAGACGCUGCGGUCGCAUCGAUCGUUCUGUGGCGGCCCCGCGAGAUGCCGACGGAAAGCCGGCGUGAUGCCGUCUCGUAUUAAAGUAGGUUAAAACAAAUCAAUAUCCCAAGAGGCAAUCAGAAAAAAAAACAGCGGACGCUUCAGUUACCGCACUCCUGCAAUCCGACCUCUUCAGCGUCUGUCUCUAAUACCGCGGAGCGAGCGAGCGCCGCGCGUAACCAUGGCACCGAACGUUUGUCUCAUUGCCAAGUGUGUUCCUCUCACUUCGGUAUGUCCCCUGUAGGGAAUAUGGUGCUCUACAGGGACGGGAUGUGCCGAAACCUGGCCCACACAGCGGUUGACAUCAUAAACAACAGAGCAAAGCGCAAGAUCGAUGCUCCUGAAGUAGAGGGCCAUCUGCGGGCCCUCCCUGGAAUUACAAACCUAUGAGAAAUGGAUCAUCAGUCUGGGGCCACCAAUCAGAACCAAGGUAAGAACCUGACUGCGGAGGGACUGAAGGCCACAGGACAGGGUAACUGACCCGUGAAGACGCCCCUCGACUGGGGCAACAACCAAGCGCAGCAUCAGGGUUGGUAGUCAGAGAGUUUUUUUCUACCCGUCCUUUUUUCAUGUGUGUAA